rnacentral:rRNA from 1 species
CAGUCGCCACGGUAAUACGUAGGUGGCAAGCGUUGUCCGGAAUUAUUGGGUGUAAAGGGUGUGCAGACGGCUUAUUAAGUCACUUGUUAAAUUCUUCGGCCUAACUGAAGGUCUGCAAGUGAUACUGAUGAGCUAGAGGGUGGAAGAGAGAAGUGGAAUUCUCGGAGUAGCGGUAAAAUGCGUAGAUCUCGAGAGGAACACCAAUGGCGAAGGCAGCUUCUUGGUCCAUUCCUGACGUUCAUACACGAAAGCGUGGGGAGCAAACAGGAUUAGAUACCCUUGUAGUCCCUGUCUCUUAUAC